rnacentral:rRNA from 1 species
CCUGAGAAACCCAAAAGAUCGAAUGGGGAGAUUCAUCGUCAGCGAUCCUGGCACGUGUGCGGUUCGCGAUGCCGUGAGGCCUCGGUCUCUCGGCACGCGUCCGCAUGGUUCUUAUUGCCGGGUGUCGUCGGCGUGCACUUCUCCCCUAGUAGGACGUCGCGACCCGUUGGGUGUCGGUCUACGGCCCGGGUGGGAGCCUGUCGUGUGUGUCACGCCUCGCGGCGUCAUGCGGCAGACCCCCGGUUGCCCGACCGGCUGCCCGGCGGUACUCGCACGGUAUCGGGCCGCAAACAUUUGAACUGCGUCCAGCCCGCCGCAAGCGAGGCCAGUGUUUUCCCGGAUGUACGGACCUAGCGCCGUCACCGGGCCUGGCCAGCUGUUGGUCGGCGGUGUCCUCGGACCGGCCCUGAAAAAUAAAUUAUGAUACCGGUCGGCGACGCUACUGCUUUGGGUACUUUCAGGACCCGUCUUGAAACACGGACCAAGGAGUCUAACAUGUGCGCGAGUCAUUGGGAACUCUUAAGCCUAAAGGCGCAAUGAAAGUGAAGGUCGGCCUUGCGCCGACCGAGGGAGGAUGGGCCGCGUCACGAUGCGGWCCCGCACWCCCGGGGCGUCUCGUUCUCAUUGCGAGAAGAGGCG